AAAUUGAAGAGUUUGAUCAUGGCUCAGAUUGAACGCUGGCGGCAGGCCUAACACAUGCAAGUCGAACGGUAACAGGAAGCAGCUUGCUGCUUUGCUGACGAGUGGCGGACGGGUGAGUAAUGUCUGGGAAACUGCCUGAUGGAGGGGGAUAACUACUGGAAACGGUGGCUAAUACCGCAUAAUGUCGCAAGACCAAAGAGGGGGACCUUCGGGCCUCUUGCCAUCAGAUGUGCCCAGAUGGGAUUAGCUUGUUGGUGAGGUAACGGCUCACCAAGGCGACGAUCCCUAGCUGGUCUGAGAGGAUGACCAGCCACACUGGAACUGAGACACGGUCCAGACUCCUACGGGAGGCAGCAGUGGGGAAUAUUGCACAAUGGGCGCAAGCCUGAUGCAGCCAUGCCGCGUGUAUGAAGAAGGCCUUCGGGUUGUAAAGUACUUUCAGCGGGGAGGAA
rnacentral:rRNA from 1 species